AUCGAGGUUAAAUCUGAUGUGAGCUCUAGCUGACAAAAUGCAAUGUCAGCAAUGUGGUUUGGGUAACUGGAUAUUUUGCUGAAAGAGUCACUUUGCAGAAAUGUUCUGCAUAUUGUCUUUCGGCAAAGUGUCUUUCGGGAAAGUGUCCAGCCACCGUGGUUUGGUAGCGAAUUGAAAUGUCGGAUUUCCAAUCGAUGAAACAACGCA